UAAGAUUAAGCAUAAGUUUAAUUGAUGCAGAAAUUUGUUAAUUUUCAGAAUAGUAUCUUAG
rnacentral:tRNA from 1 species